rnacentral:rRNA from 1 species
GACGAACGCUGGCGGCGUGCUUAACACAUGCAAGUCGAGCGGAAAGACCCGGCUUUUGUUGGUUUCUCGAUUGCCGCGCGGGUGAGUGACACGUGAGUAACCUGCCCUUAUCUUUCUGAUAACUUCAGGAGACUGGGGCUAUUACCGGGUAGGAUCUCCUGCUGCGUGGUGUUGGUUGGAAAGUUUCGGCUGUUCGGGCUGGACUCGCUGCUUCUCCGCUUGUUGGGCGGGUAGUGGCUUACCAAGUCUUUGACGGGUAGCCGGCAUGAGAGGGUGACCGGCCACAUGGGGCCUGAGGGAGGCCGCAGAAUCCUACGGGAGGCAGCAGGGGGGAAUAUUGCACAAUGGGCGGAAGUCUGAGGCAGCAAUGCUGCGUGCGGGAUGACGGCUUUUGGGUGGUAAACCGCUUUGGAAUGUGACGAAGAGGGAGUGACGGUAACGGGUAAAGAAGCAACGGCUAACUACGUG